UUAAAACCAAGUAUGUUUUUAGUGCGUUGUUGCAGGGAAUAAGAUCAAAGAAUAUGGAUGUUGCUUUAAGUGUUACUAAGCAAAGAGCAGUUUCAUUAUGAAAUCCAUACAGAUUUUCUAGUGGAGGAUGGUAAGAAGGUGAUUAAAGAAAAGUAUUAAGGUGAUUGUAACAGAUUCACUCAAGAAAUGGGAUGGUAUCAGUUGCAUGUUGUUUUGUGGUCUAUACAUCUCAAUUUUUGGGUUCUUGUCAUUUGUGCCCGCUUGGUAUAAUCUGAUUUGCCUGGUGCAAGAUGGAAGAGCUUUGUUUUAUGAAGUUACUGAUGAUUCAUCAUCAACUUUUUUCUUUUUUCUUUUCCAAGGUCGUUGAUUAUUCUGGCCGCCCUACGUCUGCAGGUUAUGUUAGGUGGCUCCUGGUCCUGGAGUUUGUAGUUGGUGAUGUUUAGAUUUCCAGGAUAUGUGUGGAAAACAUGAAAGGUCAUGGACAUGUGUGUGCUGACAAUUUUCUUGAAAGGACUAGGGCAGCUCUUAGUUUACUUUUUUUCCCUCUCUGUGGUCCCCAAUGUUAACCAUUUCACCUCCAUCUCGUCCACUUUCUCCUCCCCUCAUUGCCUAUCUCACGCUUUAGAAUUGUUGUAUUUUGACCCCAUAUGACCCACUCUAGUUUAUGUGUUUGCCACUGCGGCUUAGAAACGACGCUUUCCUGGGAACAAAUGCCAGUGCCAAGUGAACAAGUGUCUUACACUCACGACAUGGGUUUGGCUCCCUUUACUGAAUUGGCUUCCACCGAGAGAUCCUACUGUGGCGAUAACUUGGAAUGACACCACCACGGAUUUUGACUUUUGAGCUGAGAACUAUACCAGUCGCCCUGCAAUACGGAGAUAGUUGUGAAUUUUUAUGGCCUUCAAAUUCUGACAAAAAAUCCGAAAUAUGAGACGGAAUGCAUCAAAAUCAAACAACAAGUUACUCUAUAUAAAACAGGAAGGAAAUCUCACCAGGUAUGUAUUGGCAGGUACCUGCUAUUCAACGAGGGAUUACUCAAUUUUAGAGGAAUGCAAAACAGGGAAGUUCUGACUCUAAUCUUGUUGCUGAAAGAUUUAAAAUGGUAAAAACAAGAAAAAGAAAAAAAGUUUUUGGAGGAAAUAUUCCUGGUUCAAUCUAUAUAAAAAAUAAGAAUGGCAAUUAUGGCAUGAACUCUUUAUUCACCAACCUUUUGUUCUGAGGGACUAAUUGCAAAUUGCAUCAACCAAUCUCAUUAGAAUAAUUAUUCGUUUCAAAUUGAAUCCUAGUUGGUUAAGAUUUUGAACUCUAGUCAAGUUUUUUUUUUAAUCCUCCACUGAUUCUCACUAUAACCAGUGUUUCCAGGAAGUCACGAGGAGGAGCGAAGAAGCAAUAGAAAAUGCCACAAAGAGGUGGGUGGCUAGCAGCACAGAAGAUAUCUGCUAGCGACCUCACCAUGAUUAACUCAAUAUACUUUCUGAUAUUCCCUUUCCUGUAGUGUAGGUGGGAUUCAUCUUGUAACUGGGGAUUUUUUUUAUUUCUUCAGCAGAUGUUAUUACUCUUCACUCGCCUGAUUGUUGAUGGAUUUGAUUUUGCUGCAACUGUUAGUUUGUAUUCUUGUAUAUCUAGAGCAUAACUUGUUUGGAUUUAUUCAUAAUGGC
rnacentral:lncRNA from 1 species